GAAUAAGGCAUGCAUUCAUUUCAAGUUUUUAGUUGUCUAGAACUCUAAAUUUAUAUUAAUGUGACAGGUGUUCAUGAGUUGAAAAGCAACAAUUCACAUAGUAAAUUUAUGUUUUUAUAUUGAUAACACAUCUUGCGUUGGAAGUGCAAAAGAUGUUAAAGCCUGAUCCUCAAGUGUUUCUGAGUUGGUAGGCUUUUUUUAUUGAUAACACUUCUGGCAAUGGAAGGACAUGGCACAAAGUGUCUAGAGUCACAGCGGACAUGGAUAGGUACAUAUGCAAUGAUUAUUACUAUUACAAACACCAUCUCCUUUAUGAGCCCUAUCGCAUCCCUCUUCACAAAUUUCACGAUCACAUGAGCCUCCUAAGUCAACUUUGCAGAAACCAUUGAGUUGUUGUGCCUCGACCACGACAUCAGCUGUUACAAAAGUAAAUAUAUGAUUAAGUUUGGCAACAGUUGCAUUUUUAUCUAGAUAUUAUAUGCAAUCAUACAGAAGUUGUUAUAUAGUUGAUAAUAGCGUGAGGUAAUACUAUCACGUGUUGUUAAUCUUAGGAUGAAUGAUAUUUUAUGCUGAAUUCAGUCAUCCCGUUAAGACACCCAAAUAUAUAUCGCACCUAUUUUAGAAACCAUGAAUUAGAAUAAGUUUUGUGGAGCUUGAUGUGGUAGGAAAAAGCUAGGAGAACAAGCAAUUUUAUUCUUAUUUUUGCACCUAGAUUUGAUGAAGCUAAAUUUUAAGAGAAAAAAGUAGGUUUGUUGAAGCCAAAGAACCUGUACAAAAAAAUUGUACUUUUUUUUUUCUUACCCAAUGCAUAUUGAUGAUGAGUUGGUUUAAUCUUUUACUAUGACUUGGUAUGGACUAUUGAGAAUUAAUUAAAAUUACCAACAUGAUUAACCAACCCAUGAAUACCUCAAAGAGUAUGGUUGUUUAGAUAUUUAUUUAGCAUGAACUAAAGACUUUUGUUUAGACCAUCAGAUCAAAUGCCCUCUUAAUAACAAUUCAAGAAAAGAAAAUCAUACUGAAAUAAGAACUUUAUUUUGACCAAGGUUUGUUGUACUGUACCAUAUCGGCAUUUCGACCCGGGCUCAGUACGUUACCGGUGUACUGGGCGAUACAUCAGGGUGUACCGAAUAAUUUUUUAUUUUUUUAUAUUGUAGCAGUGCUACAGUAUAGUACUAUAACACUGUAGCGGUACCGGGCGGUCCGCGUACCGGUAACCUGUCGGACCGGUAUGUACCGCCCGGUACGGGUGGUACGCUUCGGUACGGCAGACCUUGAUUUUGACCCCACUUUUCCCAUAAAAUAUGGUUCAAUCAAAAUCUAUAAUACCUGACUUGUCGGAAUUUUAUGACUUUUUAUUUGUCAAAGUUGACGUGCUAAUGAGAGCAAAUUGGAGAAGAAAAAACAUGCAUGUUCGAGCUUACCUGCAAAAAGGACGAGGAGAAGGAUAACACACGCGAUCUUCGCCCCCAUGAUAAAGAAGGUUAGAAGGUUCCUG
rnacentral:lncRNA from 1 species